rnacentral:rRNA from 1 species
GACGAAACGCUGGCGGCGUGGAUUAGGCAUGCAAGUCGGACGGUAGGGCUUUAUCGUAAGAUAGAGUUUGAGAGUGGCGAACGGGUGAGUAACACGUAGGAAUCUACCCUUAAGACGGGGACAACCCAGGGAAACUUGGGCUAAUACCGGAUGAGAGUGCGAGAGAUUGCAUUUAAAAGGAUGGCGAAAGUUGUCGCUUAGGGAUGAGCCUGCGGUCUAUUAGUUAGUUGGUGAGGUAAGAGCUCACCAAGGCGAUGAUAGAUAGGCGGCCUUAACGGGUGGUCGCCCACACUGGGAUUGAGAUACGGCCCAGACUCCUACGGGAGGCAGCAGUCGAGAAUAGUCUACAAUGGCCGGAAGGCUGAUAGUGCGACGCCGCGUGAACGAGGGGAGCCCUUCGGGGUGGUAAGUUCUUUUCUUAUACGAGCAGUGCUAUAUAUAUGGAUAGUAUAUAUAGAGGGAUAGUAGUAUAGGAAUAAGCAACGGCUAACUCCGUGCCACGCAGCCGAC